CCUACGGGAGGCAGCAGUAGGGAAUCUUCCACAAUGGGCGAAAGCCUGAUGGAGCAACGCCGCGUGGGUGAAGAAGGUCUUCGGAUCGUAAAACCCUGUUGUUAGAGAAGAAAGUGCGUGAGCGUAACUGUUCACGUUUCGACGGUAUCUAACCAGAAAGCCACGGCUAACUACGUGCCAGCAGCCUCGGUAAUACGUAGGUGGCAAGCGUUCUCCGGAUUUAUUUGGCGUAAAGGGAACGCAGGCGGUCUUUUAAGUCUGAUGUGAAAGCCUUCGGCUUAACCGGAGUAGUGCAUUGGAAACUGGGAGACUUGAGUGCAGAAGAGGAGAGUGGAACUCCAUGUGUAGCGGUGAAAUGCGUAGAUAGAUGGAAGAACACCAGUGGCGAAAGCGGCUCUCUGGUCUGUAACUGACGCUGAGGUUCGAAAGCGUGGGUAGCAAACAGGAUUAGAUACCCUUGUAGUC
rnacentral:rRNA from 1 species